rnacentral:rRNA from 1 species
GUAGGUGGCAAGCGUUGUCCGGGAAUUAUUGGGGCGUAAAGCGCGCGCAGGCGGUUCUUUAAGUCUGAUGUGAAAGCCCACGGGCUCAACCGUGGAGGGUCAUUGGAAACUGGAGAACUUGAGUACAGAAGAGGAAAGCGGAAUUCCACGUGUAGCGGUGAAAUGCGUAGAGAUGUGGAGGAACACCAGUGGCGAAGGCGGCUUUCUGGUCUGUAACUGACGCUGAGGCGCGAAAGCGUGGGGAGCAAACAGGAUUAGAUACCCUGGUAGUCCACGCCGUAAACGAUGAGUGCUAAGUGUUAGGGGGUUUCCGCCCCUUAGUGCUGCAGCUAACGCAUUAGGCACUCCGCCUGGGGAGUACGGCCGCAAAGGCUGA